AUUGAACGCUGGCGGCAUGCUUUACACAUGCAAGUCGGACGAGUGGCGAACGGGUGAGUAACAUAUCGGAACGUACCGAGUAAUGGGGGAUAACUAAUCGAAAGAUUAGCUAAUACCGCAUAUUAUUCGAGCGGCCGAUAGCUGAUUAGCUGGUUGGUGGGGUAAGGGCCUAACAAGGAGACGAUCAGGAGCGGGUCUGAGAGGAUGAGCCGCCACGAUGGGGCUGAGACACGGCCCAGACUCCUACGGGAGGCAGCAGUGGGGAAUUGUGGACAAUGGGCGCAAGCCUGAUCCAGCCAUGCCGCGUGGCUGAAGAAGGCCUUCGGGUUGUAAGGGACUUUUGUCAGGGAAGCGGUACCUGAAGAAUAAGCACCGGCUAACUACGUGCCAGCCGCCGCGGUAAUAC
rnacentral:rRNA from 1 species